ensembl:lncRNA
GUUCUGGGAACUCUCUGCUGGGCUGCAUUAAGUUCUUGGAAAUCAUCAGUGAAAAUGCUUUGGACAGGAGAGGAAGGACCUUCAGAAGCCAGUAGCCUACUCACCUGCUCUUCUGCCUGCUGCUGCCACACGCCCGAUGCUCCAGCCAUGUGAGAUUCCAUGCUGUUCACUGUGCUCGAGUUCUCCCUGCAUCUUUCCAUCUUUCCCUCUCUUUGGAAAUAAACUCUAUCCUUCCCGGCCUGGAGAGAAAGCCUUCCACUUCAAGUCCUAGCUUAGACGUCAUCUCCUCCAGGAGGCCCUCUCUAGGUGUCUUGGUGGAUUUAAACCUCCCAUCGUUCUCCUGUCUGUCGUCUGAGAAAGGACUGGCAGAGUACUGGCGGUCUGUGUGUCUCCUGGAGGCCUCUGUUGUGGGGCCAGGGAGGUGGCAGGCACUUUGCCAGCGUGUCUUGCUCUGUCUCCACUUCCCAACUGGCUUCUGUGUGGAUGGCUCCUGCCCGCCGCCCUCUGUGACUGCUCAUUUGUCCUUUGAUGGUCAAGGCUGAGAGAAAGUCCCCCUUGGGCUCUUCCGUUCCAGCUUCAGGUCUGCAGUACCCACAAUCC